GGGUUGUUCUUGAGUGAUGCACCCUGGAAUCAGGCUUGCUCCUCUCUGAUUCCAGGGUGCAUCACCUGAGAACCACCAUU
rnacentral:pre_miRNA from 1 species